GACGAACGCUGGCGGCGUGCUUAACACAUGCAAGUCGGGGGGCGGGGUAACCCUUCACCGGCGAACGAGUGCGGAACACGUGAGCGACCUUCCCUGGUGUGGGGGAUAGCCGGCCCAACGGCCGGGUAAUACCGCAUACUACCCCCGCCUUGAAGCGGGAGGCGAAACUCGCAAGAGGCGCUAAGAGGUGGUCGCGGCCUAUCAGCUAGAUGGUGGGGUAACGGCGCACCAAGGCGAUGACGGGUAGCUGGUCUGAGAGGAUGGACAGGAACAUUGAGACUGAGAGACGGCCCAGAGGAGGACGGGAGGGGGAAGUGGGGAAUAUUGCGCAAUGGGUGAAAGACUGACGCAGCGACGCCGAGUGGAGGAUGAGGACCUUCAGGGUGUAAACUCCGGGAGCAAGGGACGAAUGCCAAGCGUCGGCGGGGUUGACGGUACCGGGUGAGGAAGCACCGGCUAACUCUGUG
rnacentral:rRNA from 1 species